rnacentral:rRNA from 1 species
CGGACGGGUGAGUAAUGUCUGGGAAACUGCCUGAUGGAGGGGGAUAACUACUGGAAACGGUAGCUAAUACCGCAUAACGUCGCAAGACCAAAGAGGGGGACCUUCGGGCCUCUUGCCAUCGGAUGUGCCCAGAUGGGAUUAGCUAGUAGGUGGGGUGAAGGCUCACCUAGGCGACGAUCCCUAGCUGGUCUGAGAGGAUGACCAGCCACACUGGAACUGAGACACGGUCCAG